AGAACGAACGCUGGCGGCAGGCUUAACACAUGCAAGUCGAGCGCUGUAGCAAUACAGAGCGGCGCACGGGUGAGUAACACGUGGGAACAUGCCUUUCGGUUCGGAAUAACUCAGGGAAACUUGUGCUAAUACCGGAUACGCCCUUACGGGGAAAGAUUUAUUGCCGAAAGAGUGGCCCGCGUUGGAUUAGCUAGUUGGCGGGGUAAAAGCCCACCAAGGCGACGAUCCAUAGCUGGUCUGAGAGGACGACCAGCCACACUGGGACUGAGACACGGCCCAGACUCCUACGGGAGGCAGCAGUGGGGAAUCUUGGACAAUGGGGGAAACCCUGAUCCAGCCAUGCCGCGUGAGUGAUGAAGGCCCUAGGGUUGUAAAACUCUUUCGGCGGGGACGAUAAUGACGGUACCCGCAGAAGAAGCUCCGGCUAACGUUCGUGCCAGCAGCCGC
rnacentral:rRNA from 1 species